GCUGAAGUAGCUCAGUUGGUAGAGCACUUCACUCGUAAUGAAGGGGUCGUGGGUUCGAGUCCCAUCUUCAGCU
rnacentral:tRNA from 1 species